rnacentral:snRNA from 1 species
AUACUUACCUAGCAGGGGGGAUACCGUGAUCAUGGAGGUGGUUUUCCCAGGGCAACGCUUAUUCCUUGCACUCUGGGUGUGCCGACUCCUGCAAUUUCCCCAAAUGUGGGACACUCAACUGCAUAAUUGC